rnacentral:rRNA from 1 species
GACGAACGCUGGCGGCGUGCUUAACACAUGCAAGUCGAACGGAAAGGCCCUGCUUUUGUGGGGUGCUCGAGUGGCGAACGGGUGAGUAACACGUGAGUAACCUGCCCUUGACUUUGGGAUAACUUCAGGAAACUGGGGCUAAUACCGGAUAGGAGCUCCUGCUGCAUGGUGGGGGUUGGAACGUUUCGGCGGUUGGGGAUGGACUCGCGGCUUAUCAGCUUGUUGGUGGGGUAGUGGCUUACCAAGGCUUUGACGGGUAGCCGGCCUGAGAGGGUGACCGGCCACAUUGGGACUGAGAUACGGCCCAGACUCCUACGGGAGGCAGCAGUGGGGAAUAUUGCACAAUGGGCGGAAGCCUGAUGCAGCAACGCCGCGUGCGGGAUGACGGCCUCCGGGUUGUAAACCGCUUUCGCCUGUGACGAAGCGUGAGUGACGGUAAUGGGUAAAGAAGCACCGGCUAACUACGUG